rnacentral:rRNA from 11 species
UCAGGGGUCUACAUACUCUAAAGGUACCAGGCCCCAUCGGAUCUUGGAAGUCAAGCAGAGUCAGCUCUGAUUAGUACUUGGAUAACGAACACCAAUGACUGCCAGCUAAGGUAAAGGUAAAGGUUUCCCCUGAC